rnacentral:rRNA from 1 species
AGAGGAACAUGACCUUCGGCGGGGGAUAGCCGGCCCAACGGCCGGGUAAUACCGCGUACGACCACAUGGGGACAUCCCUGAGUGGUGAAAGCAGCAAUGCGCCGAUGAAGUGCCUCGCGGCCUAUCAGCUAGUUGGUGGGGUAACGGCUCACCAAGGCGACGACGGGUAGCUGGUCUGAGAGGAUGGCCAGCCACAUUGGGACUGAGACACGGCCCAGACUCCUAGGGAGG